ACCAGACUCCUACGGGAGGCAGCAGUGGGGAAUAUUGGGCAAUGGGCGCAAGCCUGACCCAGCAACGCCGCGUGAAGGAAGAAGGCUUUCGGGUUGUAAACUUCUUUUAAGAGGGAAGAGCAGAAGACGGUACCUCUUGAAUAAGCCACGGCUAACUACGUGCCAGCAGCCGCGGUAAUACGUAGGUGGCAAGCGUUAUCCGGAUUUACUGGGUGUAAAGGGCGUGUAGGCGGGAGUGCAAGUCAGAUGUGAAAACCACGGGCUCAACCUGUGGCCUGCAUUUGAAACUGUACUUCUUGAGUACUGGAGAGGCAGACGGAAUUCCUAGUGUAGCGGUGAAAUGCGUAGAUAUUAGGAGGAACACCAGUGGCGAAGGCGGUCUGCUGGACAGCAACUGACGCUGAGGCGCGAAAGCGUGGGGAGCAAACAGGAUUAGAUACCCCGGUAU
rnacentral:rRNA from 1 species